UGGGGAAUAUUGGACAAUGGGCGAAAGCCUGAUCCAGCCAUGCCGCGUGUGUGAAGAAGGUCUUCGGAUUGUAAAGCACUUUAAGUUGGGAGGAAGGGCAGUAAGCGAAUACCUUGCUGUUUUGACGUUACCGACAGAAUAAGCACCGGCUAACUCUGUGCCAGCAGCCGCGGUAAUACAGAGGGUGCAAGCGUUAAUCGGAAUUACUGGGCGUAAAGCGCGCGUAGGUUGUUCGUUAAGUUGAAUGUGAAAGCCCCGGGCUCAACCUGGGAACUGCAUCCAAAACUGGCGAGCUAGAGUAGGGCAGAGGGUGGUGGAAUUUCCUGUGUAGCGGUGAAAUGCGUAGAUAUAGGAAGGAACACCAGUGGCGAAGGCGACCACCUGGGCUCAUACUGACACUGAGGUGCGAAAGCGUGGGGAGCAAACAGG
rnacentral:rRNA from 1 species